AUGGUCCUGCAAUGUUUUAUAGACAUAUCUUUGUCUUUUUUGUUUUAAUUUCAUCAUGUUUUCACAGAUCCUUGCUCCUGAUAUCCUGAAGUAUGGGUUGCAUUUCGUGACGCCAACAGAACACUCACAGAAAGGAGAGUGGUGUCAAACUACAAGACCGCCAGCAUGUAAACAAGGCCUUGUUUGUCCUUGUUUGGCUACUCAUUUGUCUACUUCCUGAAGAGGUUGAAGCAUGCUGGCCUCGACACCUCAGUCCUUGCUUCAAUUAACAGCUGUGUUAUGGAGCGCAUCCUACAAAGGGCAAUUGGCAGGCAGUGUGCUGUGAGGACUGCUGCCCUGAUUCAUACGGAAGAAGUUCCAAGUUCACUCACUUAUUAGCGAGGUUAACGAGUGGGCUCCAUCAACUGUCCAGGGUGAAGUCGGUCUGUACUGAUUGCACUACCUGCUACUUGAUGAUGUCUGGUAGCCGUGGCUACUGCCCUCAGCCUGGUACACUUGACACUUGACAUUUACUGCCAAAAGGUACCAUCAGAGCACCUCUCCCUACCCUGCAGGACAUCUAUACCAGAAGAGUACAAGGGCCCAAAAUAUUUCAAAAGACAUUUCACACCCUGACCAUGGACUGUUUAAACCACUGAGGUCAAGCAGACGUCUCUGUUCCCACAUGGCUAGAACAGACUGAGAAGGAGUUUCUUUCCUGAAGCCAUCUGCAUCCCGAUCACACAUAACUCUUUAAACUACAUUAUAUAGACUUGCCAUACUGCACUUACACACACUGCUCUGUUUACCACCUGAAAAGAUUGUUGCUGCACUGUCUCAGGUUUUGUUCUUGUUUUGUUUUUGUUUUGAUUUGGGGUUAAGUGCGAAAACCAGUGACAUGAACUUCUUUUUGUACACAUUUACAUACUAUGGGUUAUUAAUGUUGUGCCAAUAUUUUAGCUGUCCAUAAUGUUGACACAAAAAAGUUUACAAGGCCCAUAGUAUCACCAGUUUUGCACCUUGUUCCUUAUCUAGGGCCUCAUAUAAAUUGAAUGGGUAUGCACUACAAACAAUGGUCCAGUCAUACUGAGAACAUGUCUGCCUUCCAUCUUCCACCAAGUUUGGACAAGCUAGGAACAAUAUUUUUUAAAUAUAUCAAUGCCUAAAGAUGGCCUCCAAGAUAAGGAAUUUCUGAGAGUGAAAAUGAUACAAAAUCAAGGGUGAAAAGGUGUAUGGAAUUAUAAAAUUGAGCAAAAAUAUUUUACAGGUCUUGGUUUUGGGACUUAAAGGUAGUCAAGAGCAAAAUCUGAGAGGGUGCAGCAACUGUUUUCCUGGAUUUUAUCUGACUUGAAACAGAAUGACCCCCUUCCCUAUCGUUAAAUUACAUGUAUUUCUAAAUCCUUCUUUCUUUAUCCUGUACACCUCUGCAGAGGCAAGUUGAGAAGCUGAAUGCCAGUUCUCUAUGUAUUUUACAAUGGUAUCUUUGUAUCUGACAAUUCCUUGAAUCCUUGACAGAAGGCUCAAUUUUGUAUUGCCAUAUUUUGUGAUGUCUACAGAAAUAAAAAUACUUGUUACCGA